GUGAAUCAUCGAAUCUUUGAACGCAAAUUGCGCCUUCUGCUGAAGGCAUGUGUGUGUGAGGUCACCAUUUAACAAAUAAUGUGCAUUUUGUGUGCACACGUUGAUGAGCUUUCUAAAAUUAUGUAUGAUCUUUGGUGUCGUAUGAUAAACAGCGCGAUGCUUUUUUUUAGUUGGUGUGUAGUAAAAUUUUUGCUUGCUUGGGUUGUGAAAAGCGUGAGCUCGCAAACGGGUGUGGCGAUGCUAC
rnacentral:misc_RNA from 1 species